rnacentral:lncRNA from 1 species
UCCUAUACAUCCUCUGUUUUCUACUACAAUAUAUGGCAGCCGGCAUCCAGCAGCCACAAGCCGCAGAUCUUUCCGUUUGCUUGUUUGACUCUACGAUAUACCCUCUGUUGUUUGCUUCUAUGGACGCCCUAAUUUUAUGUAGGAGUGAUUUUUUAUUUCAUGUAGGAGUACCUUGAUUGAACUAGGCUAUGAUCGAGCUCCAAAACGUUGUCUUCAUGUUACUCCCUCUUUUUCGGUUUAUAGGACUCAAAUCUGAAAUCUCAUCAACCAAGGUGAAUUGUGAAUGAAUGGCACUAGUUCUAACUAGCCAAUGAAAUAUUUCUCAUAUAUUCAAUUUCCGAGGCAAUAAAUGUAGCAUCCUUCCUUUCAUUGGACUUGCAUGAUGCAUGUAGAAAAAGAUGCAUGCAUAGCCACUAAUUUUCUUUUUCUUAUCUCUAUGCAUUAAAUAUGAUAUGAGACUCAAAGCACUUUAACUCAACUAGACUCAAAAUGAGCCUAGUACAAUGAAAAUCUGAAAUUUUUGAGAUGAGCCCUAUAAACCAGGAAGGAUGGAGUAUAUUUCUACUUGUUAGGUUGUUUUCUACUCCAUAGCCUAGUGUUGUAUGUUAGUGUUGUACUAUAGCUAUAAGAUAGUCUAAAAGUAGAGUUUACACUUAACUAAUUCCUAGCGACUCAUUAUAACAAGUCAGUGUGUGAACCCAAUGGCAAAAAUUUCUCACUCCGCCCCUGGUUCGAGGGUUCAUUUUGAAGAUGCCCUACCCAUCCUUGUGAUGAGACUUCAAGAAAACUAGAUCCUAAACGCACCCACACACGAAUCACGAACCAUGCGACUGAAAGAUAGAAAAGUUCAGAUGCCUGCUCGGAAAAAUAAUAUCUGGAGACGACUAAAAAACGAAAAGACAAGACAAGCAUACACAGAUCGUCACGACCAGGUGUGGCGAGGACACUCGUAUCAUCGUAUGUGACAAGCGCAAGUAGAUGGCAUCUCUAAUAAAAAUCGUGAGAAGGAGCAAAUGCACAUCGGACCUAGUACUGACCAGUCCACCACCUACGGCAGAUCCCCUUGGAACGUACGAACUACACACCCGCAG